rnacentral:tRNA from 1 species
GGUAGCGUGGCCGAGAGGUCUAAGGCGUGAGUUUUAGGUCCAUAAAAAAAUGAUGAUCCGAAAACUCGAAAAACAUUUCGGAGAUGUUUUGAUUUAAACACACUCAUCAGAAAUGGCGUGGGUUCGAAUCCCACCGCUACCA